GACGAACGCUGGCGGCGUGCUUAACACAUGCAAGUCGAACGGAAAGGCCCUGCUUUUGUGGGGUGCUCGAGUGGCGAACGGGUGAGUAACACGUGAGUAACCUGCCCUUGACUUUGGGAUAACUUCAGGAAACUGGGGCUAAUACCGGAUAGGAGCUCCUGCUGCAUGGUGGGGGGUGGAAAGUUUCGGCGGUUGGGGAUGGACUCGCGGCUUAUCAGCUUGUUGGUGGGGUAGUGGCUUACCAAGGCUUUGACGGGUAGCCGGCCUGAGAGGGUGACCGGCCACCGUGGGACUGAGGUACGGCCCAGCCUGGUACGGGGGGCAGCGGUGGGGAAUACUGCACAAUGGGCGGAAGCCUGAUGGAGCAACGCCGCGUGCGGGAUGACCGCCUUCGGGUUGUAAACCGCUUUCGCCUGUGACGAAGCGUGAGUGACGGUAAUGGGUAAAGAAGCACCGGCUAACUACGUG
rnacentral:rRNA from 1 species